rnacentral:rRNA from 1 species
UGGGCUUUGGCCCGCUGUUGCAGAGAAGAGGCCGGCAGGGGCGAUACUGGGCCGGGAGGCCGAGCGCUGGGCCUUGCGCGGGCUGGCGCUGCUCGGUGGAUCUAGGGGUCGACGGGCUGAGGUGGAGCUGGGCAUCUGGGCUGCGAGCGAAGCAGAGGAGGCCUCGCGCGGCGAGUGGCACUCGUCCAGGCUGGCGCUGGACUGGUCAACGCGGGGCGGGGUGACUUGUCGUUGGCCGUCGUCGUUCCCACACGCAGAAGCAGAGGCCAGCGACGAGGACUUGGGGAGGACCGACCGUGGAGACGAGAUGGAGGGCGCGGCCUGCGGGGUCCAGCUGGAGCCUCUCGACGCCGAUGAGGAUCUCGGGGAGGAGAGGAGCGGUCGAGGUAGAGGCGGCGUCCUCUAUCUGGACUGCUGCCAUUCGACGCAGCGGAAGCAGAGGAGCAGCAACGGCGGGAUAUCGAUGGGAACGGGGCCGGAGAAGGUCGUGGGGGUCGGGAAAAAGGCGCGGCGGCGGUGAUCCCCUCCAGAUCCGGCGCGGCUUGGGGCUUGGCAAGCUCGCACGAGGUCGGAACUAGAGAACGACGACUCUUGUCCAUGGCGUCGGGGCAGAGCUCCUUUGGGUUCUUGUGGAAGCAAGAGAAGGAGAGAGAGGGGGGAUUAGAGCAGAGGAGGGAGGAGAAGGCAGGAAAAAAGAAGAAGGGCGCAGGUGAGGGCGAUGGCCUGGCCAUGGUCGUCGGCGCGAUGAGGUCUUGGGCGCGAGGGGACUGGCGAGCGGCGCUGGUUGGUUGCAUACAGAAAAAGAGAGGUGGGUUGGAUGGAUCCCGAGGGAGAAGGGACAAGAGUGGCGGCGGCGCUAGGAAUUAGGGAGUAUGGG